rnacentral:rRNA from 1 species
AUGCCCCGCGCCGAACGGCAUCAUCCUCGUCUGCUUGCGCCCCGGCAGAGGGCCGACGCCCUCGGCGUCGCCGCCGGCCAGGAACCGCUCUGGCCGGAACUCGUCGGGGUCCUUCCACGCCUCUUGGCCAGCUCCACGAAGAAGGGCAGGACCGGGCGGUUCGAGAAGGCGUCGGCGUCGUCGACGAGCACGCGGUGGGCGACAGCAGGGUCGCUGAUCCUGUGGAGGACAGCCGGAGCUGGAGGUGCAGGGGCACGCCGGCUGCUACGACGGACCAAAAUAGACAAGCCCAAGAGAAAGACGGCAAGCAUCACAAGGAGCUCCAUUAAUGGUUUAGGCUGGGCAGUUUUUGAACAAAACCAAUAUUACCUCCUUCUUGUUAAACAUGUUCGAUGCCUGGCUAUGCACGCCAAGUGUGGCCUUGUGCGCCAAGGCUUAUGUAGGCCUCCCUCUUCUGCCACAUCUAGCAAGCCCAGAUCAUCUUCCUCUCGCUGCAAACCCCGAUCAUCUUUUUCACCAAACCAAGCCAUGUCCACCACCAACCACGUCCCAUCCAUUGGCCUGACCACCACCACAUCCGAGCCGCCUCUCACAAGAACCAAUUACAUACUAUGGAAAGCCCAAGCUCGCUCCCAGAUCAUGGGUGCCGGACUAUAUGGGUACAUAGAUGAAACCAUGCCCGAGCCAACCAAGACCAUCAUCACCAAAAACUCAGAAGGAAAGGAAUCCACCGUUCCAAAUCUUGCCUACAACGCAUGGCUGGUUCAGGACCAUAAGAUCGUAGCUUUCCUUCUUAGAAACCUAUCAAAGGAGAAAGGUUCCCAGAGUGCCACCACAUAUUUCGGUCAGAUGAGAGCCCUCUCGGAUGAACUAGCUGCAGCGGGGAAACCCAUAACAGAAGGAGAUCUUCUUUCCUUUAUUAUUGCAAGGCUCGAUAUGGACUACCAACCCCUAAUUUCGGCGCUGGAUGUAUGCACUGAACCCCUCUUGGUGGAUGAUCUCUUUGGCAUGGCCGCCAACUUCAACCAGCGCAUUGAGAUGUUCCACGAGACAUGGGCAGUCUCUACCACAACAACUCCAACAGAAGCGGUGGAGGCAGCGGAUCCCGUGGAAACAAUGGCGGUGGUGGUGGCAGAGGCCACUACAAUAACGGCGGCGACAGCAGCAGCUACUACAACAACUCCAAUAAUGGUGGCGGUGGUGGCCACUACAACUCCUACAACAACAGUGGUGAUGGUGCCGGCGGCCACUACCAGAACGGCGGCGGUGGUGGCUGCAGCCAGUAGCAGAACGACGGCGGCGGCAACAACAGGCGCCCCUACUACAACAACAACAGGGGGCGCCCCUUCCAAGGGUAUGAGUAGUAUGAGAACAAGUGACAAAUUUAGACAUCUUCCUCCCUGUACAAAUAAGACACACGUCUUCUCUCAUCGCCUUCGAAGCAGCCGCUCGAGACCGAGUCAGCCAGCGGCCCACCCCCUCCCUCCCCAUGCCCUCCACCUCAUCUACCGCCGCCGGAGGGAGCUCUUCCCCAUGCCCUCCACCUCAUCUACCGCCGCCGGCGGGAGCUCUUCCCCAUGCCCUCCACCUCAUCUACCGCCGCCGGCGGGAGCUCUUCCCCAUGCCCUCCACCUCAUCUACUGCCGCCGAAGGGAGCUCUUCCCCAUGCCCUCCACCUCAUCUACCGGCGUCGGAGGGAGCUCUUCCCCAUGCCCUCCACCUAACUCUUACCGCCGCUGGAGGGAGCUCCGCUGCUCUCCUGCCGCACGCCGCUCCUCUUUCCCCAAGGCGAUGGAAAUCACAAAACCGGGACACACCAGACCAGGGGCUCCUCGAUCGCUGCUUGGGUCAUCGGUGGCGGUGUUGGCGAUGAAGGAUGGGGGCGGCGAUGCCGUUGGCCUCCUCCAGCAGCCUCUCUUCGCCACGCUUCAGCUCCGGCCCCUCGCUUGCCGCCGCCUGCGACGCUGGUGUUCUGCUCGCCUGCGAGGUGUUCUAUCAAUUGACCAAACCGAGCCAAGUCUGAGCAUGGAAAAUGGUCACGUACUUUCCUUCCCGAGCAGUACAGUACUACGCCAGAAGCGAUGUCGGCCGAACAGGCGAAGAGGAAAGAGGCCACAGAAGGAUUCUUGCGUCCCAAAUGUCAGUUUCAGGUUCACGGGCAGGAUGGUGGAUUCGUUCUUCGAUGGCCAGACUAUCCAUGUCAAGCGACGGCAUGAGAAGAGCUCCGGGGAGGUUGUCAUGUGCCGGUGCAUCUCACCUUCAAGCACAUGCCGCAGACUCCGGCUGGUGUGGCUCCGUUCCUUCCCGGUCCUGUUUUUCUUUACUCUCCCUUGGUUACUGUUUGCCUUAAUCUUGAUUUGUUUUGUCGGUUCAUGUUGUUUAUUAGUUCUUUCUUUGCUGGAUGUUCGGCGCGCUGAUGCUGCAUGGAAGCAUUUGAAGCGGAAAAAAAAAAUCUUCACAUACCUUCCUGUGUGGGAGUAUUAUGCCCGUUCAACAAGUAGAAGACCGAGCCUCUCCAGCAAGGAGAGAAAGGACGACUGGGUCUCUGGCUUAGUGCUACCUUGUGCUUCCAGUUUUUUGGUUCAUGGACGGUCAGAUGGUAUUUCACCUAGCUCUUCCAGUUUGUUGGUUCAUGGACGGCCAGAUGGUAUCUCACCUAGCUGGCCUGCUUUCAAGUAUCAGUUUGCUAAACAGAAAAGAAGCCAACGGGGCACACUUCAUAUCUUGGAUGUAUCUGUUAUACGAAUGUUGUACUUUGUAGGACAAACUAUAACAAAACAAACACAUGCUGAGCCAAUGGGGGCGGCGCGCCGCAGGGCAUGCUUCGGUGGAUCGACUUGA